rnacentral:rRNA from 1 species
GACGUAGGGCGCGAGCGUUGUCCGGAUUUAUUGGGCGUAAAGAGCUCGUAGGCGGCUUGUUGCGUCGACUGUGAAAACCUGCGGCUCAACCGUGUGGUCUGCAGUCGAUACGGGCAGGCUGGAGUUCGGUAGGGGAGACUGGAAUUCCUGGUGUAGCAGUGAAAUGCGUAGAUAUCAGGAGGAACACCGAUGGCGAAGGCAGGUCUCUGGGCUAACACUGACGCUCAUGCACGAAAGCGUGGGGAG